UACGUAGGGUGCAAGCGUUAAUCGGAAUUACUGGGCGUAAAGCGUGCGCAGGCGGUUCUAUAAGACAGAUGUGAAAUCCCCGGGCUCAACCUGGGAACUGCAUUUGUGACUGUAGAGCUGGAGUACGGCAGAGGGGGAUGGAAUUCCGCGUGUAGCAGUGAAAUGCGUAGAUAUGCGGAGGAACACCGAUGGCGAAGGCAAUCCCCUGGGCCUGUACUGACGCUCAUGCACGAAAGCGUGGGGGAGCAAACAGG
rnacentral:rRNA from 1 species